AUUGAACGCUGGCGGCAGGCUUAACACAUGCAAGUCGAACGAGUGGCGGACGGGUGAGUAAUGUAUGGGAAACUGCCCGAUGGAGGGGGAUAACUACUGGAAACGGUAGCUAAUACCGCAUACUAUCGGAUGUGCCCAGAUGGGAUUAGCUAGUAGGUGGGGUAACGGCUCACCUAGGCGACGAUCCCUAGCUGGUCUGAGAGGAUGAUCAGCCACACUGGGACUGAGACACGGUCCAGACUCCUACGGGAGGCAGCAGUGGGGAAUAUUGCACAAUGGGCGCAAGCCUGAUGCAGCCAUGCCGCGUGUAUGAAGAAGGCCUUCGGGUUGUAAAGUACUUUCAGCGAGGAGGCGUUACCCGCAGAAGAAGCACCGGCUAACUCCGUGCCAGCAGCCGCGGUAAUAC
rnacentral:rRNA from 1 species